rnacentral:rRNA from 1 species
AGAGACAGCAGUAGCCACGGGAAUACAGAGGGUGCGAGCGUUAAUCGGAUUUACUGGGCGUAAAGCGUGCGUAGGCGGCUUUUUAAGUCGGAUGUGAAAUCCCUGAGCUUAACUUAGGAAUUGCAUUCGAUACUGGGAAGCUAGAGUAUGGGAGGGGAUGGUAGAAUUCCAGGUGUAGCGGUGAAAUGCGUAGAGAUCUGGAGGAAUACCGAUGGCGAAGGCAGCCAUCUGGCCUAAUACUGACGCUGAGGUACGAAAGCAUGGGGAGCAAACAGGAUUAGAUACCCGCGUAGUCCCUGUCUCUUAUAC